UUUUUCUUCAAGCGGUUUGAAGACAUAUCCAUUCAUCCCACUCUUUGUGCAUUGCUCAAUUGUAGCUGGAAAUACAUCGGCUGUCAUGGCAAAUAUAGGUAAAUGCCACUGAUUGUUAUUUUCUUCCGUUGUGUUCUUAUUUGCUAUGCUCUCCAUCAUGCGUAUCUGCCUCGUUGUUUCCAUCCUGUCAAAAUAGAUAAAUCACUCAUAAGUAUAUACCCUUAUGUUAAAAGAAUUGAAGUUCAUACAUGUCCAGUUUUAUUAAGAAAUAAAAAUGUAAAGUUGUAAACAAAACAAAAAACAACAAUCAGUAUCAAAAGCAAGAGAUUUACCCAUCCAUUCCAGGCAUUUGGACAUCCAUGAAACACAUAUCAAAUUUAUGUGGUAUUUGGAGGCAAGAAAGCGCAUUUUCACCACUAUGGAUAUAUUGCACAUUAGCACCAUACUUUUUGAAUUGACUUUGAGCAACUCUACAAUUAAUUAUGUUGUCAUCAACAAUUAAGAUAUUUUUCCCCCUUAGCAUGGUAUGACAAGAAUUUGAAAUAUUUUGAGUUUCUUUCUUUUUCUCUUCUUCCAAAAUAAAUAAUGGUUUGAGAUAAGCAGCCAAUAAACUUGAUCUUAAAGGUUUCACAAUCAAAGCAUCAAAGAUAUCUUUAUUAUUAAUUUCACCAGAAUCUGAGGUUGCCAAAAGAAUUAAUUUAGGCAUCACGGGUAUAUUGUAUUUUUUCUUCCAAUCAAGAAACUUCUUAUGAAAACUACUACCCAUAUCCGUUUUCCAUAGAUCUUUCUCUAUCAAUAGAAGGUUUAUAUUUUUCCGAGUACUGCACAAGCAAUAGUAACACAGGCAAAAUAAGUCAAAUGAGAUUUACGAAAAACUGAUUUCUAGAAAACAAAAAGCAGAACAAAGGAAUAUGUUCAAUUAACAGAGAAAAAAUAGGAACUAAAAUAGUUACUUCUAACCAUAAGCAACAUGCAUUGUACUAAUAUUAAAACCCAUUAAAAAAUCCAUAAAUAAAGGAAACACAAAAAAUAGAUGCAAUUGAAGAUAAUGAAGUUCAUAAAAACAUUUCCUUAAGCUGUUAAGUGUUAAGCAACAUGAAUAAGUUAAACAACAUAAGGUUCUAAGGCUGACAUGCAUACCAAUGAUGUGAAAUUCUGAAUUAAUCCAUGUGAUCAAUCAAAGUCGUCUUAAUUAAAAUGUAUAGAUAUUACUAUAUUAGAGAUGUAUUUUUUAUGAUCAUAACAUCUUAUAUUAAACAAUCAAAUAUUGAUUGAUGAUGUAUUUGUUUAGCAUUUAAAGAAUGCAGAUCAUUAUAAAAAUUGAAGGAAUUAUAUAUAUAGGAAAAUAUUCAUUAGAUUCAUAGAAAAAUCUACUAAUGCUAAUGCAAUGAAACCUAAAUAUGAAAUCAGAUCAAGACAUUGACUUAAACAAUUCAGAUGAAAUUAGUUUCAAACAAUUAUUUCAAGCAUGAUUUUAUGGAACAAAACUUACCUUUGCAAUAAACGACUAUUUUCCCCUGUUACAAGCACAAGAGCAUCUAUUAAAUUACUAAUGUUUUGCACCGUAAUACCCAACCUUUGCAAAUGAUAUUUAGUGAUAGCCCCUCUAAUUGGUCUAUCAUCAACCACAACUGCAUUAAUCCCUUUGUUGGGAAACGAAAAUGUCUUUCUCUUGAUAUCAAUGUUAGUACUUUGAUCACAUUUUGUAAACAUGCUGGUAAAUGCAAAGGUACUUCCAAUGUCAGAUCGACUAAUAAAGCUCAUUUGUCCACCCAUCAAUUCAACCAGACUUUUGCUAAUGCUAAGACCAAUACCAGUUCCUCCAUAGUUUCUGGAAAUUGAGCUAUCUGCUUGCAUGAAUGGUAUAAAUAUCUGAUUUUUAGCAUGUUGUGGAAUUCCAAUUCCAGUAUCCUCUACAGUUACCACUAGAGUUACAUCAUAAUCAGAGAUGUGAACAAAUUCAGAGAGAAGUGGUUGGAGAAUUUCCCAACUACUACUUUUAUCGGCAGCUUCCAGACCACUUAAAGUAUCGUAAGAAUUUGUUGAAUCAAAAGUAUGAGUAUUAUGAAUUGCUGCAUUUUUUCUCUUUGUCACCAUUUUUACUUGAUUUGCUAAAUGAAUAUGAACUAAUAUAUGGCCAUGUUUCGUAAACUGUAAAAAAAAAAUUGCAUAAAUAAAAGGAAAUUUAAAAUAAUAUAUGACAAUAGUCUUCUAAUCAAUACUAAAAAUGUCAACAAAUACUGAAAACUUAUUUUACUAAAUUACUGACUUUGAUCGCGUUCCCCACGAGGUUUGUAACAAUCUGUCUAAAUCUACCAGAAUCCCCAACAAGAACUUCUGGAACACUAUCAGAAACUACUACAGCUAACUGAAAUUGUGAAUUAAUUCAAUCAGUAACAAAAAAUAAUUGGAUAUUUUGAAGAAACAAAUUGUUAAAAAAGAGAGUAAAUAGGAGCAAUUGGAUCUAACCUCAAUAUCAUUUUCUCUAGACAUUACAGAAAAUAAAGAAAUGAUUUCAUCUAAGACAGAUCGCAAAUCGAAGGGUGUUGCAUCUAUUUGUAAUUUUCCAGAGUCAAGUUUUGCUCUAUCAAGCAUAUCAUUUAUUAAUGAUAAAAGGGUAUAUCCAGAUAUCUGAGCAGUAUGUAUAAGAUCUUUUUGGACUGAAUUGAGAUCAGUAUCUAAUAAAAUCUCCAAUAUACCUGUAAUAAUAAUAAUAAAAAGCUUCACUAUGUUUCUAUCUCAACUAAACAAAAUGUUAAGUACAACGUGACUGUACCUAUGAUACCAUUCAACGGAGUUCUAAUUUCAUGACUCGUAGUAACAAGGAACUGAAAUGAUAAAAAACUGUGAAUCAUAAGUUGGCAUACAUUGUAAGAAUCAUAAAUUAUUAAAUAAUUAUCAAUCCCGAAUCUUUGUUAUUUUUAUGUUACAUGAAAAUGAUUCCAAAGUGGUAAUAACAUUAUAACUAAAAGCUGAAUGAUUUCGAACCUGUGAUUUAACAAUAUCUACAACAUCAUCUCGAACUUUUAACUCCUUCGCCUUUUGCCAAAUUUGUACGAAAAUCAAGGAGAAGGUUGUAUACGAAACAAAGAAUAUCCACCCAAUCAGCAUACACAAUGCAAAUAUCAAUGAUGGGAUUGCGAUGGUAAGCCAAUCAAUUGGAGGAUUAUACCUGAAUCAGAAUAAGCAACAAGGGUUUAAUGAAUGUACAAUCAUUAAAAAGUGUGACAUAUUUUUUUUGAUAUUCUUACAAUCUUACCUGCAUUUUAUUUGAUGCUUUCUGUAUGGAUCUGCAAAUUCAAGUGUGGUUGCAUAAGAAACUGAUUUAUAUCCACCGGUGGUUUCAGUUCCAUACAUGAUCAAAGGCUUAGACAUGUUGGUCACAUCAUAAACAUUCACCAUUACCUCGUGAUUACCAGCCACUUGUUUCAAAAAAUUUCCCACAACUGUGUCCAAUUCAAAAGCUCCAAAAAGGUACCCAACAGUCUCUUUAAUACGUUCUUCAAAUGUUGCAUCUAAAAGGAGGUUUUGAUUGUAUACAGGAAUGGUUAGAAUCACACCUAAAUGAUUCGAUUCAAACAAUUUAAAUGGAUUUGUAAGGGCAAUUUUUCCUGUGGCCCUGGCUCUAAGGAUAUUCUCACG
rnacentral:lncRNA from 1 species